rnacentral:rRNA from 1 species
UUAGUGGCGGACGGGUGAGUAACGCGUGGGUAACCUGCCUCACACAGGGGGAUAACAGUUGGAAACGACCGCUAAUACCGCAUAACCCGCUGGUAUCGCAUGAUACUGACGGAAAAGAUUUUAUCGGUGUGAGAUGGACCCGCGUCUGAUUAGCCAGUUGGCAGGGUAACGGCCUACCAAAGCGACGAUCAGUAGCCGGCCUGAGAGGGUGAACGGCCACAUUGGGACUGAGACACGGCCCAAACUCCUACGGAAGGCAGCAG